rnacentral:rRNA from 1 species
GACGGAGGGUGCAAGCGUUGUUCGGAAUCACUGGGCGUAAAGCGCGUGUAGGCGGUAGAAUAAGCCUAAUGUGAAAUCCCGUGGCUUAACCACGGAAGUGCAUUGGGAACUGUUCUGCUUGAGUACGGGAGAGGGAAGUGGAAUUCCUGGUGUAGAGGUGAAAUUCGUAGAUAUCAGGAGGAACACCGGUGGCGAAGGCGGCUUCCUGGACCGAUACUGACGCUGAGACGCGAAAGCGUGGGGAGCAAAC